GAUGAACGCUGGCGGCGUGCCUAAUACAUGCAAGUCGAGCGAACAGACGAGAGUGCUUGCACUCUCUGACGUUAGCGGCGGACGGGUGAGUAACACGUGGGUAACCUACCUAUAAGACUGGGAUAGCUUCGGGAAACCGGAGCUAAUACCGGAUAAUAUUUAGCUUCGCAUGAAGCAAUAGUGAAAGACGGUUCUGCUGUCACUUAUAGAUGGACCCGCGGUGUAUUAGCUAGUUGGUGAGGUAACGGCUCACCAAGGCAACGAUACAUAGCCGACCUGAGAGGGUGAUCGGCCACACUGGGACUGAGACACGGACCAGACUCCUACGGGAGGCAGCAGUAGGGAAUCUUCCGCAAUGGACGAAAGUCUGACGGAGCAAUGCCGCGUGAGUGAAGAAGGUGUUCGGAUCGUAAAACUCUGUUGUAAGGGAAGAACAAGUACGUUAGUAACUGAACGUACCUUGACGGUACCUUACCAGAAAGCCACGGCUAACUACGUG
rnacentral:rRNA from 1 species